GUACUACAACGGGACCUACUGUCACUGGGAAUUACUGGGCUUAAAGUGUUCGUAGGUGGUUGAACAAGUCGGUGGUGAAAUCCCAGAGCUUAACUCUGGAACUGCCAUCAAAACUUUUCAGCUAGAGUAUGAUAGAGGAAAGCAGAAUUUCUAGUGUAGAGGUGAAAUUCGUAGAUAUUAGAAAGAAUACCAAUUGCGAAGGCAGCUUUCUGGAUCAUUACUGACACUGAGGAACGAAAGCAUGGGUAGCGAAGAGGAUUAGAUACCCUCGUAGUCCAUGCCGUAAACGAUGUGUGUUAGACGUUGGAAAUUUAUUUUCAGUGUCGCAGGGAAACCGAUAAACACACCGCCUGGGGAGUACGACCGCAAGGUUAAAACUCAAAUGAAUUGACGGGGACCCGCACAAGUAGUGGAGCAUGUGGUUUAAUUCGAAGAUACGCGCAGAACCUUACCAACACUUGACAUGUUCGUCGCGACUCUAAGAGAUUAGAGUUUUCGGUUCGGCCGGACGAAACACAGGUGCUGCAUGGCUGUCGUCAGCUCGUGUCGUGAGAUGUUGGGUUAAGUCCCGC
rnacentral:rRNA from 1 species